UACGUAGGGCGCAAGCGUUGUCCGGAAUUAUUGGGCGUAAAGAGCUCGUAGGCGGUUUGUCGCGUCUGCUGUGAAAACCCGAGGCUCAACCUCGGGCCUGCAGUGGGUACGGGCAAACUAGAGUGCGGUAGGGGAGAUUGGAAUUCCUGGUGUAGCGGUGAAAUGCGCAGAUAUCAGGAGGAACACCGGUGGCGAAGGCGGAUCUCUGGGCCUUACCUGACGCUCAGGUGCGAAAGCUAGGGGAGCGAACAGG
rnacentral:rRNA from 1 species